rnacentral:misc_RNA from 1 species
ACAAGAAGGAAGACUAUGAUGCCAGCUAUGAUGGUGAGGAGCGGUGGGCCGUCCGGUACACUUGAACUGCCUGUGCCAACCUUGGCUUCAUCAGCAUCAGAGUUAGGGUUCGUAUUUAACGCAAACACUGGUGGCAAUUUGCUCUUCGUGCGCAAGCCUAAGGCACUCCCAAGCCUGGAACUGUGGCGGAGAAGGGGGGGCCUGUCACGGGGAGGGAGGGAGACG